rnacentral:rRNA from 1 species
CCUACGGGUGGCAGCAGUGGGGAAUAUUGGACAAUGGGGGCAACCCUGAUCCAGCCAUGCCGCGUGUGUGAAGAAGGCCCUCGGGUUGUAAAGCACUUUCAGUGAGGAAGAACGCCUGGUGGUUAAUACCCAUCAGGAAAGACAUCACUCACAGAAGAAGCACCGGCUAACUCCGUGCCAGCAGCCGCGGUAAUACGGAGGGUGCGAGCGUUAAUCGGAAUUACUGGGCGUAAAGCGCGCGUAGGUGGCUUGAUAAGCCGGUUGUGAAAGCCCCGGGCUCAACCUGGGAACGGCAUCCGGAACUGUCAAGCUAGAGUGCAGGAGAGGAAGGUAGAAUUCCCGGUGUAGCGGUGAAAUGCGUAGAGAUCGGGAGGAAUACCAGUGGCGAAGGCGGCUUUCUGGACUGACACUGACACUGAGGUGCGAAAGCGUGGGUAGCAAACAGGAUUAGAUACCCCUGUAGUC